rnacentral:rRNA from 1 species
UGACCUCGGAUACAGCCU